rnacentral:lncRNA from 1 species
GGGUGUUUGUGUCAACAAGAAUGCUCAAAAUAAGAAGAUAUCAGUGUUCUAUUGAAAGAGGAUUUUCUCUAGUAGAGUAAUUAAACAUUUAUUGCUUUAGAAAAUAUAUAUUUAAAAAUUCUUUAAGAACAUUCUGUAAGAAGGUGAAAAUAAGAUAAAUUAACUCAUAUGUUUUAAUCCGAUUCUUAACCGUUUCUGAAAUAAUCGGCUCUAAAGUUUUGUUUGUAAAUUUUUGGAAUAACUAUGUUCUCUGUAUUUCUAACUCACGUUGCAGGUAUUUCAUCAUUGUUUGUUAAUACCUAUUUUAUUUAACUGGUAGUUUUGACAAGCAUGGUUGUCAAUUUGAUUGAUUCUGAGCAUUUCAAUUUGAAAAAAACAAAGUUUCCAUUACGUAAUGCCUUACACAUUUACCCACAGGGAGUAUGCUGGCAUGAUAUUCGUGUAUGGUUUCUGUAAUAGUAGCGCAUAACGUGCCGUUGAUGAAUACCGACGUCGUUUUCCAAAUCGAAGAAUUCCUAAUCGUGAAGUUUUUCAGACAGUUUUUGCAAAUGCUCAGGAAACAGGAAUGUUUCCAAGAGUAAUAAUUAAUUUUGAACGAGAGCCUGAAAAGAAAAUGUUCUGGUUCUGGCUGAAGAGAACCCGGGUGUUAGUACGAGGCGGAUUACAAAAGAACUUCGACUAGCAUCACAUGUAGACGUUUGGAAGAUACUAAGAAAAAACGGUUUAAGCCUUAUCAUAUUCAACCGGUUGAACAUCUUCAAGAGCGUGAUUAUGGAUUAAGGGUUCAAUUUUGCGAAUGGAUCCAAUAAAAUCGAGGCCUACAUAAAUACAUUUUAUUUAGUGAUGAAGCUCAUUUUACCCGCCAUGGAAUGAAUAAUCGACACAAUGAACAUCGGUGGUCAGAUGAAAAACUUCAUGCCACGUUUGAACGAAACCUUCAACAUCGAUUCAGUGUUAACGUCUGAUGUGGAAUGCUGAACGACCAGUUGUUUGGUCCUUUUGUAUUAGAUGAGCAUCUUACUGGAAAAGGAGAUUUACGCUUUUUGGAAGAUCAUUUAAUAUACAUGUUGGAUGAUGUUGCGCUAAUUGUUCGACACCGAAUGUAUUUUCAACACGAUGGAUCCCCACCUCAUUUUAGUCGCCGAGUGCGUAAUUUCUUAAACAAUCGUUUUUAAUUCCUGAUCGUUGGAUUGGCCGAGGAGGAGCUCAAGUUUGGCCACCGAGGUCACCAGACUUAAAUCCACUGGAUUAUUGCCUCUGGGAGUAAAUGAAAGCUCUAGUGUACGAAACACCAGUAGAAACCAUAGAAGGACUCCACAAUUAAAUAUUUUGAAUGCUUCAAAUAUUAUUAAAGACAAUUCCCAAGCAAUUAAACGUGCAACACGAGCGCUUAACAAACAUGCUGCAGCUUGCUUUGAAGUUGGUGGGGGUAUUUUCGAGAGCAUUACAAAUACAAAUCUUACAAAAAAACUUCAGAAUUGAUUAUUUUAGAAACGGUUGAAAAUCGGAUUAUAACAUAUGGGUUAAUUUAUAUUAUUUUGACCUUCUGAACAUGUUGCUCUUCCUUCCAGAAACACCCUGUAUAUGGUGGUAUUCCAUAGACACAGCGUCUAAUUUCGGCUGUCAAUGCUUCGUUAGUUAUAGGAUUAUUGACAUUAAUCUGUGACUUUACAUAACCCCGCAGCCAGAAAUCUAGGCGUUAGAUUCAAUUAAAAUUCAAACUGUCCAUACCAAAUGCGACAGUUUUUCGAACAAAGCCAUUAAGAUGAGAAUGGACUUUAUUACUAAAAAUGAUUUUGUUGCGUUCAGUAAGUUGCUUAAGGAUCCAAUUGGUGAAUUCUCUUAGCUGUUCAUGGUCCUGCUAGCAGAAGUGAGUCAGUUGGAUUUUUUAGGUAUGUUAUAGUAUGUUUAGUGAGAAUUCUCUGAAGAGUGCCUGUUGAAAUAUUCGAUUUGUGUACCUGAUGACGAAUUUACGUCUUCGGGCUUUCUGUCACAUUCUCGUGAACUGCCGGGAUAUUUUUUUCUGAACGACCUCUGUAAGAUAAAAUCGUGCGUUUCACGUUUCACUUCUAAUAGAACCAGCACUUUUAAAUUUUUUAAUUAUUCUUUUCACAGUAGAUGAAUUAGGAACAUUAAUUCGAUUGAACAUUCCUUGCGAUUAGUGGCUAUAAAACUUUUACCUUUUUGAUAAUAUAUUUUGCUAAUCACGACGCGUUGUUCAAAAGUGUAAUGCUCCAUGUUUACCAAAUCCCAUUUGUCAACUUUUAAUCUGUCACGUCAUAAUCGUGUGAAAAUAUGACUGUCAAACAUGGCGUGCAAUUCAACUCUUGCGUUCUUAUUGACACACUCUUUAGAACCCUACAUAUAUUUCUUUUAUUAUACAAAUGACUUAUAUAAGUUCCUUGAAGCUUUAUGGUUAGGUGGUUUUAAUUAUAGAUGAUACUCUAUAAUAUGGAUUUCCUUGUGAUAACAGACUUAUUUUUAGUGCUGUAAAUUUUUUUUUUUGGGCUUUAUCUGUGAUAUGCUAGAACUCAAGUUCACUAAGCUGCUUUACAAACAAUAAUUUAAAAGUUUUUAUGAAGAAUUAUUGAUCGUACGGUUAACUUUGACUAUCAUUAUACUAAAUUUGACAUAUAAAUAAUCAUCUUGUGAAUCAUCCCCAUAUUUGUUCCCUUGCGUGUGAGUUUUCAUAGUCUAGCAAGUAACGCUGUGUAUUCUUGACAGUAUGUAUUCCACGGUAUAUUCUUGAAAUAAUUAAAAUAAUAUUACUAAUGUUUUUUGUGUGUCUAUUUAAAUUUUUCAAUAAUUAAUAAAUUCUAAUGAAUUUCUACUGGUUUUGAAAUAGAUUUUUAAUUUGCAAGACAAGUCAUAAGGAUGAUGCGUCAAUUUACGGAGCUGUGUGCAUACAGUAAAUUUGUCCAAAAAUAAAAUGUCCAAUUUACUAGUGAGUAAGAAACUCUUUUGAGAAUGUAUUAGUGACAGCAUGAGAUAUUUUACACCCUAUAUCUUAAGACUUUACAAAGGCCUUUAACAGAGUCAAUCUUGUUUUAUUAGUCAGGCAAUAAAUGAAAAACUCUACUAGACGUCUCAUUUAAUUUUGGAAUUUUAUAAACAAUUAUUAGCUUAAAUUUAAUGCUUUCAGUAUCUCUACAAAUUCAAAAUAAUAAAUUCCAUAUUCCAAGAGCAUUGAACCCUUCUUUGUGAAGUAAACAUGUAAGCAAACAUCCCUUAGAUCCUAUUUUUAGAUAAAAUGCUCAAAGAUGACUUAUCAAGGAUUUUCCUUUUUAUAUAAACAACUUGAGAGAUACAUUUCAAAAUAACCUACUAAGCACAUGAUUAAGGUUAACAGAGAGAAUUGCCUUGAUCUUUGGCUGUUUUUUAUCCGUUAAACCUCUGUAAUUAGAAAAGUUUGAUAUAUUUUCGCAAAAUAUUGUUGAUCUAUAUUUAAUUUUCUUUUAACAUUUUUGUUUAUAAUAUACGAUUAUGAUAUACAGUACUAAGUAUACGGUAAGGCAGUACCAAAUAUUUAAUCAAAAGUUUUCUUUGAAUUUCUUGUAUACAGGGUGUUUCAUUUUAAUCCCACCACGCAGAUAUCCCUGAAAAAAAUAGAGAUAAAAGACGUUGCUUCUACAAAACUGAGAGGGUUCGAUAAGAGAAAAAUAAUGGUAUCCUUGAAUUUGACCUUGUGGGUUAAUUUUUAAGAUAAUUUGAAUGUCAAGGUCACGUUCUUAAAUAGAAUGUUUUAUUUUUAAUGCCCUAUAUAGGUAGAAAAGUUUAUAAAGAACCGGCUGCUCAAUAUGCGCAUAAACCCCUUUUUCAACACAAAAUCGAUAGAAAAUCCGGUGGCAGAGAGAAAAGACGAUCGCAAUAUAUUUUCUCUCGCUUCUUAUUAAAGAAACCGCAAGAACAAAGCAGCCGCCGUACUUUGUUUCUUUGUACCUGCCGGGGAUUUAAAGCCUAUGACGUAGCCUGAAGGCCUACUCAGUGUCGUCUCGUACGGGAAGUGAGUUAAUCGUGUUAUAAAGCAUUUAAAAUCUGUUGUGUGUUUUUUUUUUUAAAGUAUAAUAGUGAAAUAGACUAGUUAGUUUUUAGUUAGACUAUCCGAUUUUUAUUGUAAAAGAUGUCACCUGAGGAUGUAGGCAAACAAGGACAAAUAAUUCACAGCCAAGGGAGAGAGAUUAUUUCUAACGUGGCAGGUUUUAUGAAAAAAGAAGCAUAGCAAGGAAUUACUAUUUCUUUGAAAAAUGUUAGGUAGGUAAUGUUAGACAACGUACGUUAGCUGCCACUCGAGUAUCCCAGUCAACUUACAGAAGAGUGGUCCAAGAGUCAGAAGAUAUAGAAAAUAUACCUUCCUGUUCCUUUACCAGUCCAAGGAAAAAAAGGUUAAGAAAAUCUCAGAAGAUUGGUAACAUUACUUUGACCCAAAUUAAAGAUAUAAAACAAAUAGUGUAUGAUUUCUACAUAGUUGAAAAAAUAAGACCUACUCUAAAAUGUAAGUACAGUAUAUUUCAGUCAGUUGUAAAACCCAAGUAAUUUACUUACCCUACAUUGCAAUAUAACACCAUAAUAUUUUAUUAUUUAGACAAAAGUGGCACCUGUUAAGUAUUUUUUUGGGUUUGACAUAAAAUAACCAUGUGGAGUAUAGGGCACAAGAAGGGGCCAAAAAAAGUCUUAAUUAUCCAGAAAUUUUCUUCCAGAAUAUGGACAAGAUUCUCCUUAAUAUACAUAUGGAGUAUAUUUAUUUAUUUACAUUUUUAAAUAUGAACAUAUUAUGUUAUAUUAUUUUCUUUCCAGUAAUACUUCAAAAGCUUCUUGAUCCGACUAUUAUUCAAGAGCCUAUAAGUACACCAACCUUAUCAAAAUUGUUGAAAAAAAUUCGAUUUAGAUGGACCAAAACGGAAGAUAACAGAAAAGCUCUUAUCGAAUCUUACGACAUACGAUUGAAAAGGAUCAAAUAUUUAAAGCAAAUUUUAUAAUAUAAAGAGGAAGGCCGUAAUAUUGUAUAUACUGAUGAAAGUUACAUACAUAGCAGUCAUACAAAGGACAAAGGGUGGUUUGAUGAAAGUCGACAUGGAAUUAGAAAACCCAUUUCCAAACGACAGAGACUGAUAAUUCUUCAUGUUGGAGGAAGAAAUGGUUUCGUAAAUAAUGGGUUACUGAUUUUUCGCUCAGGGUCAAAAAGUGGAGACUAUCAUGAUGACAUGAACCAUCACAACUUCAUGAAAUGGGCCGAAAAUCAGUUAUUUCUAAAUUUACUACCUAAUUCCGUCCUAGUAUUAGACAAUGCAGCUUAUCACAAUGUGCCUGUAGUCAAGAAUGUUACAUCUGGAAGUAAAAAGCAGGAAAUAGUUGACUGGCUCAAGGAACGUAAUUUUACAUUUGAUGCAAAACUCACCAAGACAGAGUUAUAUGAAAUAGUGUCUGAAAAUAAAAAAAAGGAUCCUGUAAAAACCAAGUUGGACGACCUAAUGGAAAAGCAUGGAUACAUUGUGUUACGUUUGCCUCCAUACCACCCAGAGCUUAAUCCGAUAGAAAAAAUUUGGGCAACUGUUAAGAAUUGGGUGGCAAGCAGAAAUUCCACUUUUAAAUUGGCGGAUGUCGAAACUUUGACAAGGCAGAAAUUUGCGGAAAUUUCGAAUGAUGAGUGAAUAAAUAUUUGCAACCAUAUAGACAAUAUAGAAAAACAAUAUGUCGAAAGUCAUCACCUUUUUGAUGAAGCAUUGGAUUCUUUAAAAUUUACAGUAAAUACAGGCUCAUCUGAUGAAGAGAUCGAAUGGUCUUUAUCGGAUGAAUCUGAUUUAGGUUGUAAUACACUAUCUGAUGGUGAAUAAAAAUAUAUAAUAUGUAAAAUAAUGAAAUAAAACUUUAAGCUUA